UAUGUAUCCCUGUCGGGCAGGCCACCGUUAUCCCCGUACCGGCUAACCCAUGGAAGGCUUGGGCAGGGGGUAGACUCUCUGCUCCGCCGUUACGGCUGAGUAACACGUCGGCAACCUGCCCUCGGGACGGGGAUAACCCCGGGGAAACUGGGGAUAAUCCCCGAUAGGGGAUGGGUGGUGGAAUUCCCGCAUCCACGAAAGGGACGGCGGGUUUCCGCCGCUCCGCCCGAGGAUGGGCCGGCGGCCUAUCAGGUAGUUGGCGGGGUAACGGCCCGCCAAGCCAAAGACGGGUAGGGGCCGUGAGAGCGGGAGCCCCCAGAUCGGCACUGAGACAAGGGCCGAGGCCCUACGGGGCGCACCAGGGGCGAAACCUCCGCAAUGCGGGAAACCGUGACGGGGGGACGGGGAGUGCCGGGGUAUUCCCGGCUUUUGGGGAGUGUAAGUAGCUCCCCGAAUAAGCGGUGGGCAAGA
rnacentral:rRNA from 1 species